rnacentral:tRNA from 1 species
GCCGCGGUGGUGAAAUUGGCUAUACACGCAGUGUUCAGAACGCUGUGGGGGAAACUCCGUGUGGGUUCGACUCCCACCCGCGGCA